GACGGCUGCAGUAGCGUGGAAAGGGGGGUGACGUCCCGCGGACUUGAGGCGGGCAGAUCUGGGGGGCCCCGACUCCCCAGCGGCCCUGUAGUGGUGCGGGCGAAACUCUGGCCCCAGAUAGGACCGGGAACUAGAUCAAACCUACCUGGAUUCUUGUGAACCAUUCAUGUGAAUUAUUUGGAACUGGAAUUUCACACAGACCCGGGGAAUUUCUCAAAGUUCAAGACGGGUCAUAUUCCGUGGAAUACGGAAGGAGUUGGAGUGAUUUCACUUUUCUGAUCAAGAACUGAUAGCCAUUAAAACUCAGCUCCGCAAUAUAUCCCCCCACUCCAAGGGAGGGCUGAGAUGAUCACUUCGUUUUCUGUUACGGCUACUUUUAUAUUUUUCAACAUUACUGCUGGUCUGUAAGAGAACUAAAACAUCUGAUUUUCCUCAUUUCCUUGUAAAGAGGUGUUCAAAUAUGUACUUGAAUUUAAUUAUUUCUUCUGGUCAGCUGCAAAACCUGCUUUUCUUCCUUAACCCCUAGCAUUUUUAUCCUCUUAGCUACAGACAGGUUUCCAUGGCGUUGGUUAAAAAUUAAGGCCUAUUGAGACCAUAGUAUUUGCUUUCCAGUGAGUAAGAAGCAAGAACUUUAGGAUUAAAUUCAGCAAAAAGAAAAAAAAAAAGAGUAAAAUUUUGCAAGCAGAGUUUGUGAUUUCACCAGCAACACACUAACGUUUUUGGCUACUGAAAACCACUAUCCCCAGCCCCAUGACUCAGCAGCUAAAUCAACAGCCAACAUCUCCUACUGGUAAGGACUCUAAGAAAUCAGGCACUUGGUACUCUCAGAGCAAUUCUAAGGCGUGGCCCUGAAAGGGCUCCAAACAAUCUUAUUUUACAUAAAAAUGGUUAGAGAGAUAAAGAUACUCUGCUGUGGCCAGAACCAGUAAAUCUAGCAGGAAAUCAGAGGCCGAACAUGAUCCCGGACUGCUGCCGUUGCAAGAUUCUUGGAGGCUGCAGCGCCACAUUCUGAGCCAGCACUUCGACCUCACAUUGUAGCUAAAAUGUUAAUGAUUACUAGAGAUGUCCUGAAAUCUUUUUCAAAAUUCACAGGCUGCCAAAUGCCCUCCCUGUUUCCAUAGCUCCUUAGGCUUUGUUAGCAGGCUGUGGGGUUCACAUUUGCUUGUAGUCAGCACAACGGCAUUGCAUUUAGUUAUUAUUUCUCACUUGCUGUAAGCUUGUUGAGAAGUUUUAUUGGUGGUGGGCAGGUGGGGAAUAACUGUCCAAAGCUAUCAGAAUACCACACCUUGAAGCACUGUAGGUAACACAUGCAUGGUGUCUGCAGGUGGCCGGGAUCAAGGGAGAGUGAAUCUGCUACGACCUGUAACUCGCUUGGAUUACUGAUUCUCCCUGUGAUACGUGUGUAAAAAUCACUGGUCAGCUUGAGAAAGGGAUCUUUGUGAAAGAGGGUCUCCAGCCAGAUAGGGAACUUCAGGGUUGGAUAAGGAGCUCUGGGGAGGUAAGAUACCAGAUGAGUGCAGAAGGGGAUGUAGCUGGAUGGUCCCUCCUCAUAACAGAUCAUGAGGUUUUGGUAUUCAUCACUCAGUAUUUCACGUACACCAGAGACUACAUAAAGCGUAUAUAAAUCUCUGUG
rnacentral:lncRNA from 1 species